ensembl:misc_RNA Metazoa_SRP Metazoan signal recognition particle RNA
GCCAGGCGUGGUGGCACGUGCCUGUAGUCCCAGCUACUCGGGAGGCUGAGGUGGGAGGAUCGCUUGAGUCCAGUAGUUCUGGGCUGUAGUGCGCUAUGCUGAUCAGGUGUCCGCACUAAGUUGGGCAUCAAUAUGGCGACCUCCCGGGAGCGGGGGACCACCAGGUUGCCUAAGGAGGGGUGAAGCAGGUCAGAACUCCCCUGCUGAUCAGUAGUGGGAUCGUGCCUGCGAAUAGCCACUGCACUCCAGCCUGGGCAACAUAGCGAGACCCCGUCUCUG